rnacentral:tRNA from 1 species
AGUGUCUGUAGCGCAAUGGGUACCGCGUUGGAUUUCUAAUCCAAAGAUCGUGGGUUCGAAUCCCACCUGUGUUG